rnacentral:rRNA from 1 species
UGGGGAAUCUUCCGCAAUGGGCGAAAGCCUGACGGAGCAACGCCGCGUGAGUGAUGACGGCCUUCGGGUUGUAAAGCUCUGUGAUCGGGGACGAACGGUCAGCAGACGAAUACUCUGCUGAAGUGACGGUACCCGAAUAGCAAGCCACGGCUAACUACGUGCCAGCAGCCGCGGUAAUACGGAGGGUGCAAGCGUUAAUCGGAAUAACUGGGCGUAAAGGGCAUGCAGGCGGUUCAUCAAGUAGGAUGUGAAAUCCCCGGGCUCAACCUGGGAACAGCAUACUAAACUGGUGGACUAGAGUAUUGCAGGGGGGAGACGGAAUUCCAGGUGUAGCGGUGGAAUGCGUAGAUAUCUGGAAGAACACCAAAGGCGAAGGCAGUCUCCUGGGCAAAUACUGACGCUCAUAUGCGAAAGCGUGGGUAGCAAACAGGAUUAGAUACCCUGGUAGU